rnacentral:rRNA from 1 species
ACGGCUCAGUAACACGUGGACAACCUACCCUGAGGAGGGGGAUAACCCCGGGAAACUGGGGAUAAUACCCCAUAGACUAUGGAUGCUGGAAUGCUCUGUAGUUAAAAGGCCCGCCGCCUCAGGAUGGGUCUGCGGCCGAUUAGGUUGUUGUUGGGGUAACGGCCCAACAAGCCUGUAAUCGGUACGGGUUGUGGGAGCAAGAGCCCGGAGAUGGAUUCUGAGACACGAAUCCAGGCCCUACGGGGCGCAGCAGGCGCGAAGACUUUACAAUGCGAGCAAUCGUGAUAAGGGAACUCCGAGUGCCCGUAAAAUCGGGCUGUCCGCCAGUGUAGAUAACUGGUGAAGAAAGGGCCGGGCAAGACCGGUGCCAGCCGCCGCGGUAAUACCGGCGGCUCGAGUGGUGGCCACUAUUACUGGGCUUAAAGCGUUCGUAGCUGGUCUGUUAAGUCUCUGGGGAAAUCUUCCGGCUUAACCGGAAGGCGUCUCAGGGAUACUGACAGACUAGGGACCGGAAGAGGUGAGAGGUACUCCAGGGGUAGGAGUGAAAUCCUGUAAUCCUUGGGGGACCACCUGUGGCGAAGGCGUCUCACCAGGACGGCUCCGACAGUGAGGAACGAAAGCUGGGGGAGCAAACCGGAUUAGAUACCCGGGUAGUCCCAGCUGUAAACGAUGCGCGUUAGGUGUAUCGGUGACCACGAGUCACCGAGGUGCCGAAGAGAAAUCGUGAAACGCGCCGCCUGGGGAGUACGGUCGCAAGGCUGAAACUUAAAGGAAUUGGCGGGGGAGCAC